UACGUAGGGUGCGAGCGUUAAUCGGAAUUACUGGGCGUAAAGCGUGCGCAGGCGGUGAUGUAAGACAGGUGUGAAAUCCCCGGGCUUAACCUGGGAACUGCAUUUGUGACUGCAUCGCUGGAGUGCGGCAGAGGGGGAUGGAAUUCCGCGUGUAGCAGUGAAAUGCGUAGAUAUCGAGAGGAACACCUGCGGCGAAGGCGGGUAGCUGGGCCGACACUGACGCUGAGGCGCGAAAGCCAGGGGAGCGAACGGG
rnacentral:rRNA from 1 species